rnacentral:rRNA from 1 species
GACGAACGCUGGCGGCGUGCUUAACACAUGCAAGUCGAACGGAAAGGCCCUGCUUUUGUGGGGUGCUCGAGUGGCGAACGGGUGAGUAACACGUGAGUAACCUGCCCUUGACUUUGGGAUAACUUCAGGAAACUGGGGCUAAUACCGGAUAGGAGCUCCUGCUGCAUGGUGGGGGUUGGAAAGUUUCGGCGGUUGGGGAUGGACUCGCGGCUUAUCAGCUUGUUGGUGGGGUAGUGGCUUACCAAGGCUUUGACGGGUAGCCGGCCUGAGAGGGUGACCGGCCACAUUGGGACUGAGAUACGGCCCAGACUCCUACGGGAGGCAGCAGUGGGGAAUAUUGCACAAUGGGCCGAAGCCUGAUGCAGCAACGCCGCGUGCGGGAUGACGGCCUUCGGGUUGUAAACCGAUUUCGCCUGUGACGAAGCGUGAGUGACGGUAAUGGGUAAAGAAGCAACGGCUAACUACGUG